AUGGCUGGGUUCACCCUAAAAUGCAAGAAGGCCCGUGAGUGGUUCAAGAACUACAUCAAACCGAGGGUGGACAGUCUUCCAUGGGAGGAUUUCGCAAAUGAGUUUGCAGGAUGGGCUUUCCCUGAUAGUUCAAGGGAAUUGAAGAUAAUAGAAUUCGAGCAGUUGAGACAGACUGAUGACAUGAGUGUAGACGAAUAUAC
rnacentral:lncRNA from 1 species